rnacentral:rRNA from 1 species
CAGUCGCCGCGGUAAUACAGAGGGUGCGAGCGUUAAUCGGAUUUACUGGGCGUAAAGCGUGCGUAGGCGGCUUCUUAAGUCGGAUGUGAAAUCCCUGAGCUUAACUUAGGAAUUGCAUUCGAUACUGGGAAGCUAGAGUAUGGGAGAGGAUGGUAGAAUUCCAGGUGUAGCGGUGAAAUGCGUAGAGAUCUGGAGGAAUACCGAUGGCGAAGGCAGCCAUCUGGCCUAAUACUGACGCUGAGGUACGAAAGCAUGGGGAGCAAACAGGAUUAGAUACCCCUGUAGUUCCUGUCUCUUAUAC